rnacentral:lncRNA from 1 species
CCCAGACUUUAGCAUGUUCCCAUAUUCCCUGCAUCUUGUUGGAUGUUCUCCAUUUUACAGACCUAGAACACAAGACACAGAGACCAAGUGUCCUGCACUAGUAAUAGAAGGCAGGAGUCUUGACUCAGAAUCAAGUUUCUAACCACUGAGCAUUGCUUUUCACAGCUGCCAUCUUGGCGUAGCCUGGGGAAAGUAACAAUGUGAUAAAACUCCAGUGUGGACAUGUGCAAAUAUGUAUGUGCAUUCAUGCACCUUCAGAUCAAUGGCUAUUUUAAAGAAAAGGAAACACAAAGUUGUCAACUGUUCAAUAUAUGAUUAUAAGAAAGAAAACCAAAUCAAUCAGAAAGAGCAAAAGAUCACUGCAACAAAUAAGCACCCAACAGACUCUGAUAAAGGCAAAUCCACAAUCAUCACUGCUAUCCCACAUGAUAAAAGCCAAAUGCUUGUUGACAAUCAGAUUGACGAUGAUGUGAGCCCAUAAUGUUGCCACUGAUGGAUAAAAGGAUCCCUUAGAAAACAGAAGUGGUAAUAAAGUUGCUCGUACAACCUUCGUCUGGCAGUAAUUUUCAAUAUGAAAGCCUACUGCAGACUAGCAGAGAGGAAUGCUAUAAAAAGAACAUCAAAACACUCUUCAAUGUUGAAAGCAGAAUGGCUGGAAUCCUGCACAUAUACUGACAUGUGAGUUUCAAUGGCUCAAUCGGAUCCCAUUUUUAUUUAAAGAUGUCAGAUCCAACAGGGCCCAUAUUUCUCUAGAUAUGGAUUUAAAGUGGGCAGCAGGUUCCGUAUUGUUUACUCUGCUCUAUUUGUUUUCCUGUGGGAAGAGGCAUGUCCUGAAAAUGUGCUCGGUGGUAUUUUCAUUGGAUUUCCGGCGUUAUUCAGAUCUUCAAGAAGGGGAGACCCUCUGAACUCAGAAAACUAGUGUUCAGUCAACAAAAGGGAGGUUCUUAGCCAGAAGAGAAAAUAAAUAAGGUCAGUGUUAAAAACGCAGGUGACAUCUUCAGAUUUGGGUAUUCUCUUGGUCUAUUAGAUUCUUCCUGUAGUUUAGCACUAUUUAUAGAGAAGAACAAAGCUGGCAGAGUGGAGAUAUGGGAAUCUGAGCAAAUUAAGACAUCAACUCAAAGAUAGUAAGUCAUUUCUUUUUUUUUUUUCUGCUUUUUCUCCCCAAAUCCCCCCAGUACAUAGUUGCAUAUUUUAGUUCUGGGUCCUACUAGUUGUGGCAGUAAGUCAUUUCUGCUGCAAAGUUACCAGCCAUCAUGCCUCAGUUUCCCACCAGGAAAGACAGCAGUUCUGUGUAGUCCCUCAACCAAAGGAUGACUCAUCAGAAAGAUGAGAUACAAAACCAGUGUGAGCCCCCCUUUAGAGAAAUGAGUAAAGCAAUAUCAUCUAGGAGGUAUGUCAGAGUUCCUUGUCUGAUGAAGUUGCAAUGACUAUAAAGGCUGAUCCAGUGUGUUUUCUCCCAGGCUGUUCACAAUCAGCCCAGAAUUUAAGCUUCAGUCAUUCUCAAACUUUUCUGUCCAUUAGAAUCUUCAGAGAGCUUGUUUUAAAAUUCUGAUUUGGAGUCCCAGCUCCAGAGUUUAGAUAAAGUAGGUCUAGGGUGGGACUCAAGAACAUAAACUCUUAGCAAGCAUCCCAGGUGAUUCAAGUAGUGGUGAGCCAUGGACCACACUCGGAGAAAUUCCAAACCAAGCUACACAGUUCACCUGGCUGGUAAAUGUCUGUCCAUGGCCUGAUGAGCACCGUAUUCUAACCACCCGAGGAAACCCAACUACGGUCCUGCAACACGUGAGGAACUUGGGAGUGAAUUUUUAUCGUUUUUCUGCCCAACAUCCAUUCAUCUUGAAUUUCUUUUGGGGGAACAGCCCCUCCCCCUGCUCAGUUCAUGUGCUUCCAGUGGGUUUCAUCCUCCUGCCAGGGGGAACAUGAGUCCCAGACCUGGCCAAUCAGAGCACUGGAUCCUCUUAGCCACAGUGAUUGGUUUGUUGAUGAACAUGUGACUACUAUUUAGUCCAAGCAGACUAUGUCCCUAGGCUAACACAGAAACUGUCAGGAUUUGAAUCAAGGGUCUGGAGAUGCUGGAGCCGUGUUGCCACCAUGAGUGGAGUUUCUGUUUCAGAACAGAUCAGAAGAUGGAAAGAGAGAAAUCAAGUCCUGGCAUUAUUGUUUGAGUCAUAGAUGGGGCCAUAUUUAAGCCAGGCAGAUCCACCCCUGCAUUUUUCAGUUUAAAUGGAGAAAUAAAUUCCAUUUUUCUUCUUAAGCCAG